GCUCAGUUGGUAGAGCAUGGUGUUUGCAACACCAGGGUUGUGGGUUCGAUUCCCAC
rfam:Salmo salar isolate Sally breed double haploid chromosome ssa19, whole genome shotgun sequence.